UUUUUUUGUGUUGAAAGACCAAAACAAAACCACACAUAAAAUGUUAUGUUAUGUUAUUAUAUAUGAAUAUGAAUGUUCGAUCACAUUUCAUAGAAACAACAGACCAAAAAAAAAACAAAUAAUAGAAGGAACAGCCAAAUCAAUAAGAGGAAUUAGAGUUGAAGAAAGUAGGAAGACACACUCCAUUGAGAUUACCUCAAUAGAUGACCAAAUUCCACUACUUCUUCAAAUUGAAAAAGAUGAGGUAAUUUUUUUCAUUAACCCACUUUUAUUAGGGGCAAUAUAAGGAAAUAAUAUAUAGAUGUGUCCUUUAACUUGAUUUCAAUUUACAUAUAUGCCUCCAACUCUGGAUAUACCUAAUAGACACUUAAACCUGUAUAAAAUUAAACAAGUAAACAGAUACGUCAUAUGUGACUAUGACUCUAAACCAUUAUAAAUUGAAGAAGAGAGGAAAGUGGAUCAUUUAAUUGACAUAAAGUACACAAACAAGAUCCAUUAGGAUCACAGACAAAGGAAUUUGUAAAUCAAAUGUUUGAUUUAGACAAUUUGUCUAUUGAAUCGAGUACCAUAUUCAAAGUAAAUGUGUGGCUACGUGAAUCAAAUCUAGUUGCUUAGAUGGUCUCUAUUGGUCCUUACCACAAGAGAAAAUCACCAACUUGGUCUAAUGAAAAAGUACAAAUUAUUGUACCUACAAUGAUUUCUUCAACGAAAAGAGGGGCUUGAUAUCGGAAGUUGCAUUAGUGAAUUGGAGAAACAGAAGGAGGAAGUGGUGAAGUGUUAUAAUGAUAUAGAAGACCUAGAUAGUGAUAAUAGUCAUGAAUUUUUGUCAAAUGUCGUUGCUCGAUGGUUAUUUUGUGAUUGAGUUUAUUUGAGAGUGUCAUGAAGUAUAUUCACAAGUAAAACGAUUAUAAAUAUUAGUGAUACUUACAUAUUUCGAGAGUUGAUGUUACUUGAAAAUCAACUUCCUUUCUUUGUCCUCGACAAACUUCAUGACAUGAAUUACCAUUGGCAAUACUAGUGGGUAAUUCAUUUACCUUUUUCAUUGACUUGCCAAAAAUGACCCUUGAAUCCUUUAAAGAGACAAAAUUAUAUGCAAAAGAUAUCAAACAUUUACUACAUUUAGUAUACAUAUUUUCAUGUCAAGGGAAAGUCGUCCGAUGACAUAACAUGGCAUAUGGUUAUGCCAAAUGCAACAGAGCUUUCUGUUAUGACAAUAAAAACAAAGAUAAUAUUGGCGCGAUACGACAAAAUUUAUUUGAUAGUAUAAAGUUUGAGAAAGGAUUGAUGGAAAUCCAUCCUGCGAAAUCUCAUUGCUUAUGAGCAACAAUCAUCCAAUGUGAUGCCAAAAUAUUUCCAUGGAACAGAAUGAAGGCAAAUUUAGAGCAUAAUUAUUUUAGUCGUCCUUGGGUAGGAGCUUCAACUGUGACAGCCAUCGUACUUCUCAUACUCACUACUAUACAGACUAUUUUAGCUAUCACAUGUGCAAAUUUGUAAGUAGUAAUUAUCAUGAUUGUCUCAAUUUUAGUGUCUCCAAUUUGCAUUUAUGUUGAUGAACUUAUGAGAUUUUCAUGUCC